ACGGAUUGUGAUGGAAACUGCAUAUAUUGUGUAAUUCUUCAUCCUCUGGAAAAUAGCUCUACUGGUCAACACAGCACUGAUGAUAACGCUUAGACCUGGCUCAGUGAGCACGAUAUCAGAAGCACCUCGUGCUGCAUCAGUAGCAUCUGCAACAGCGAUACCGAUAUCUGCCUUCUUCAAAGCAGGAGCAUCGUUCACACCAUCACCAGUCAUUCCCACAAUGUGCUUUCUCUCCUGCAACUUCUUCACAAUCUCAUAUUUGUGCUCA
rnacentral:misc_RNA from 1 species